rnacentral:tRNA from 1 species
CAGUUCGGCAGUGCGAACACAUCAAAUUGCAAAUUUGAACCAGCACCCUAAAGGUGCCCGGACU